UAUGGAAACCAGGGGUUAAUUGGGGUGUUUCGUAGCCUCCUGCGCAGACGUUAGUGGCCAGCGUACCGAGGUUCGGUACGCUGGUCAUUAACAACGUCUGCGCAGGAAGCGUGGUGAUGAUCUGUUUACAAUGUAAAAUAAUCAGUCAUUCUCUUCCUGCUUAUGAAAACAUCAAGUCUUUUUCAAUUACCUCAUUUAAUAUAAAAUUUAUGAAAUUUCAUUACAAAGUACUUAUUCAUUCCUUUAUAGUCUUUAUUCUGCCAAAAUAAUGAUUACAUAGUGACCGAAAGCUUGAACGUCUCCAAUCAUCACGUUUUUACCUGGCCCUGUUUCACUUACAAUUUCUGCUAAAAUAAUUUAAUAACUGGCCUUUGGCUCAAGGAAUUUACAAUCAUUACUUUUAAGGUUACUUCUUGGCCUCGGGCCCCCUAUUAUCCUCUAGUCAUAUAUUAAGCCCUGGGCAAACUAGGAAAUAUUGUUGUGGAAACACCUACCAAUGUUUCGCCAUGUUUCCAAGAGUGCGCAAACAAGAGUGCGUAAACUCUGGGUAAGUGGUUAAGUGGUAAAAUCAAAUGUUUCUGAAUUCUAUAACAAAGUUUCCCGAAACUUCCAGCCACCCGAGGUGCGUCCAAUCCAGGAAUCACCGAACCUGCAAGUAUGUUUGGUUUUUAUCCCAUACACCGAGCCAUACACAUAUUUGUAGCUCUUCGCGAUAUAUUCGUCGAUGUUUUGUCAACAUUUUGGAAACGACGAGAAUCACAAAUGUUUCCACAACAAUGUUUCCUAGUUUUCCCAUGGCAUUAUUUACAUUAAAAUUACUAUCAUAAGGGCUAAAACCAUAAUCUUUUUGUGUUAUCUUUUGCUGUUAAGAAGGGAUCAAGCUAAAUAAAGCAAUACAAUUUUUCUACUCAUUAAAACAACAACAUCCCCCAUCAAUAAACAUGCAUCCACAACUUAACUGAUGGGUUCGGGCUUGUAAUUAUAUUCAUCGCUCGUACUGCUAGUGAAUGACUUGGUGUUCGGAAUACCACUGCUUAUCGGUUCAUAUUCUUUAAAUUUGUUAUCGUAGAAUUUCAAGUAACUAAAGAAGCAGAAAGAACGAAAUGUCAGACUUUGUAUAGAUUCGCAGGCAACUCGGUGCCAAACGGCUCGCUC